AGUAGUUUGAUCCUGGCUCGAGGACGAACGCUGGCGGCGUGCUUCAUACAUGCAAGUCGAACGAGAAUCUCUAGCUUGCUAGAGAGGAAAGUGGCGGACGGGUGAGUAAUAUGUAGAGAAUCUGCCCUUGAGUGGGGGACAACAGAAGGAAACUUCUGCUAAUACCCCAUACGAGCUUAGUUGAAAUACUAAUCUUGAAAACUCCGGUGCUCAAGGAUGAGUCUGCAUCUGAUUAGCUAGUUGGCGGUGUAAUGGACCACCAAGGCGACGAUCAGUAGCUGGUUUGAGAGGAUGAUCAGCCACAAUGGGACUGAGACACGGCCCAUACUCC
rnacentral:rRNA from 1 species